UGAACGCUGGCGGCAGGCCUAACACAUGCAAGUCGAGCGAGAAAGGCCUUCGGGCUGAGUACAGCGGCGGACGGGUGAGUAACGCGUAGGAAUCUACCUGGUAGUGGGGGACAACAUGGUGAAAACCAUGCUAAUACCGCAUACGCCCUACGGGGGAAAGCGGGGGACCUUCGGGCCUCGCGCUAUCGGAUGAGCCUGCGUUGGAUUAGCUUGUUGGUGAGGUAAAAGCUCACCAAGGCGACGAUCCAUAGCUGGUCUGAGAGGAUGAUCAGCCACACUGGAACUGAGACACGGUCCAGACUCCUACGGGAGGCAGCAGUGGGGAAUAUUGCGCAAUGGGCGAAAGCCUGACGCAGCCAUGCCGCGUGUGUGAAGAAGGCCUUAGGGUUGUAAAGCACUUUCAAUUGGGAAGAAAGGUUGUACGUUAAUAGCGUGCAGCUGUGACAUUACCUUUAGAAGAAGCACCGGCUAACUCC
rnacentral:rRNA from 1 species